UACAGAGGGGGCAAGCGUUGUUCGGAAUUACUGGGCGUAAAGGGCGCGUAGGCGGCCUGCUAAGUCAUACGUGAAAUCCCAUGGCUCAACCAUGGAACUGCGUGUGAUACUGGCGGGCUUGAAUUCGGGAGAGGGAUGCGGAAUUCCAGGUGUAGCGGUGAAAUGCGUAGAUAUCUGGAGGAACACCGGUGGCGAAGGCGGCAUCCUGGACCGAGAUGACGCUGAGGCGCGAAAGCCAGGGGAGGCAAACGGG
rnacentral:rRNA from 1 species